rnacentral:piRNA from 1 species
UAUUGUAAGGUGGACUGUAUAUAAAGU